GACGAACGCUGGCGGCGUGCUUAACACAUGCAAGUCGAACGGAAAGGCCCUGCUUUUGUGGGGUGCUCGUGUGGCGAACGGGUGAGUAACACGUGAGUAACCUGCCCUUGACUUUGGGAUAACUUCAGGAAACUGGGGCUAAUACCGGAUAGGAGCUCCUGCUGCAUGGUGGGGGUUGGAAAGUUUCGGCGGUUGGGGAUGGACUCGCGGCUUAUCAGCUUGUUGGUGGGGUAGUGGCUUACCAAGGCUUUGACGGGUAGCCGGCCUGAGAGGGUGACCGGCCACAUUGGGACUGAGAUACGGCCCAGACUCCUACGGGAGGCAGCAGUGGGGAAUAUUGCACAAUGGGCGGAAGCCUGAUGCAGCAACGCCGCGUGCGGGAUGACGGCCUUCGGGUUGUAAACCGCUUUCGCCUGUGACGAAGCGUGAGUGACGGUAAUGGGUAAAGAAGCGCCGGCUAACUACGUG
rnacentral:rRNA from 1 species